rnacentral:rRNA from 1 species
CCUACGGGGGGCUGUAGUGGGGAAUAUUGGACAAUGGGGGAAACCCUGAUCCAGCAAUGCCGCGUGUGUGAAGAAGGCCUGCGGGUUGUAAAGCACUUUCGGUUGGGAAGAAAAGUUUGGCGCCAAUACCGCCGAACCUUGACGUUACUGACAGAAGAAGCACCGGCUAACUCUGUGCCAGCAGCCGCGGUAAUACAGAGGGUACAAGCGGUAGUAGGAAUCACUGAGCGUAAAGCGCACGUAGGGUGUGAAAUCCCCGAGCUUAACCUGGGAACUGCAUUCGAUACUACAUGGCUAGAGUAUGGUAGAGGGAAGUGGAAUUUCCGGUGUAGCGGUGAAAUGCGUAGAUAUCGGAAGGAACACCAAUGGCGAAGGCAGCUUCCUGGACUAAUACUGACACUGAGGCACGAAAGCGUGGGUAGCAAACAGGAUUAGAUACCCGAGUAGUC